GAAUUAUUUUUUGUGUUUUGAAAACAUGAUGAAGAACGGGUGUUCUGUAAUUUU
rnacentral:tRNA from 1 species